UUCGCAAUGCCCGAAAGGGUGAACGAGCGACGCCGCGUGCGGGAUGAAGGUUCUGGUGUUAACAGCGCCAGGAACUGACUAAGGCGAGAGAGGAAGCCACGGCUAACUUCGUGCCAGCAGCCGCGGUAAGACGAAGGUGGCGAGCGUUGUUCGGAAUCACUGGGCAUAAAGCGCACGUAGGCGGCGACAUAAGUUGGGUGUGAAAUCCCUCGGCCCAACCGAGGAACUGCGCCCAGUACUGCGUUGCUUGAGGAUCCAAGGGGUGCAUGGAACUUCCGGUGGAGCGGUGAAAUGCGUAGAUAUCUGGAAGAACACCGGUAGCGAAGGCGGUGGUCUGGGCCGAAACUGACGCUGAGGCGCGAAAGCCAGGGGAGCAAACGGGAUUAGAUACCCCGGUAGUCCUGGCCGUAAACGUUGGGCACUAAGUAGAGGGGUUUU
rnacentral:rRNA from 1 species